AUUGAACGCUGGCGGCAUGCCUUACACAUGCAAGUCGAACGGUAACGGGCCUUCGGGUGCCGACGAGUGGCGAACGGGUGCGUAAUACAUCCGAACGUGCCCGAUCCUGGUGGAUAACGAGUCGAAAGCUUUGCUAAUACCGCAUACGAUCUACGGUUUAAAGCCGGGGACCGCAAGGCCUUGCGCGGACUGUGCGUCCGAUGGCAGAUUAGGUAGUUGGUUGGUUAAAAGCUUACCAAGCCGACGCUAUGUAGCUGGUCUGAGAGGAUGAUCAGCCACACUGGAACUGAGACACGGCCCAGACUCCUACGGGAGGCAGCAGUGGGGAAUUUUGGACAAUGGGCGCAAGCCUGAUCCAGCCAUGCCGCGUGCAGGAUGAAGGCCUUCGGGUUGUAAACUGCUUUUGUAAGGAAAGAAAAGACUUCUUUUAAUACAGGAGGGUCAUGACGGUACCGUAAGAAUAAGCACCGGCUAACUACGUG
rnacentral:rRNA from 1 species